AUUGAACGCUGGCGGCAGGCCUAACACAUGCAAGUCGAACGAGUGGCGGACGGGUGAGUAAUGUCUGGGAAACUGCCCGAUGGAGGGGGAUAACUACUGGAAACGGUAGCUAAUACCGCAUACCAUCGGAUGUGCCCAGAUGGGAUUAGCUAGUAGGUGGGGUAACGGCUCACCUAGGCGACGAUCCCUAGCUGGUCUGAGAGGAUGACCAGCCAAACGUGAACUGAGACACGGGCCAAAAUCCUACGGGAGGCAGCAGGGGGGAAUAUUGCACAAUGGGCGAAAGCCUGAUGCAGCCAUGCCGCGUGGAUUAAGAAGGCCUUCGGGUUGUAAAGUACUUUCAGCGAGGAGGCGUUACUCUCAGAAGAAGCACCGGCUAAAUCCGUGCCAGCAGCCGCGGUAAUUC
rnacentral:rRNA from 1 species